GGAUUGUGGCUCAUCGGUAGAAUGCUCGCCUAGCAUGUGUGAGGCCCUGGGUUCGAUCCUCAGCACCA
rnacentral:tRNA from 1 species